GGAGCUAUAAGUUCUCUGUAUCGCAGCUAACGCAAUAAGCACUCCGCCUGGGGAGUACGACCGCAAGGUUGAAACUCAAAGGAAUUGACGGGGGCCCGCACAAGCGGUGGAGCAUGUGGUUUAAUUCGAAGCAACGCGAAGAACCUUACCAGGUCUUGACAUACUCGUGCUAUUCCUAGAGAUAGGAAGUUCCUUCGGGACACGGGAUACAGGUGGUGCAUGGUUGUCGUCAGCUGCGAUACAGAGAACUUAUAGCUCC
rnacentral:rRNA from 1 species